rnacentral:rRNA from 1 species
GGAAGGAUCAUUAACGAAUUGUAAUGGGGGGGUUGAUGCUGGAGGCCGUUUCUUUGGCUGCAAUGUGCUCGCCCCCCUAACAAUAUUCAUCCAAACGCCACCUGUGCACAAUUUGGGGGAUGGUCUCUGAGUUUGAUUGCCUGUUCUUGGCCGACAGGUUUUCUUCGGGGGGUUCCUUCCCUCUCUCCCCUCAUAUAUACACACACUGCUUUUACAAUAUUGAACGUGAUUUGUGCCGCAAGGCCUUUGUUGCAAUAAUACAACUUUUAACAACGGAUCUCUUGGCUCUCGCAUCGAUGAAGAACGCAGCGAAAUGCGAUAAGUAAUGUGAAUUGCAGAAUUCAGUGAAUCAUCGAAUCUUUGAACGCACCUUGCGCUCCCUGGUAUUCCGGGGAGCACGCCUGUUCGAGUGUCGUGAAAUCCUCAAGCUUUAAGGAUGCUUUUUCAUCCUUAAGCUUGGUAAUUGGGCUUUUGCUGUGUGGUGCCCUUUCAUUGGGAAAACAGCUGGCCUUAAAAUCAUUAGCUGAUCCUCAUGUUGUGGCGUUGGUUUCUACUCAGCGUGAUAAUGAAUCUGACCGCUGGGGGGACAUCCUUCGGGAUGGCCAAUUCUCAUCUUGGGUUGCUUCUAAUUUGGCUUUUACAGAUCUGUUUAGCCUUCUGUUUUGACCUCGAAUCAGGUGGGACUACCCGCUGAACUUAAGCAUAUCAAUAAGCGGAGGAAAAGAAACUAACAAGGAUUCCCCUAGUAACGGCGAGUGAAGCGGGAAGAGCUCAAAUUUAAAAUCUGGCAGUCUUUGAUUGUCCGAAUUGUAAUCUAGAGAAGCGUUUUCCGCGCUGGACUGUGUACAAGUUUCCUGGAUACGGAACAUCAUAGAGGGUGAGAAUCCCGUCCUUGACACAGACUCCCAGUGCUUUUGUGAUGCGCUCUCGACGAGUCGAGUUGUUUGGGAUUGCAGCUCAAAAUGGGAGGUAAAUUCCUUCUAAAGCUAAAUAUUGGCGAGAGACCGAU